UUGCAAUGUCGCUCCAGGCUGCGUUAACAUCUCUGACGUACAGCGAUCCAUCUUCACAAAUAUCUUUUCUGGGAGUUCUUCUCCGCAUCUUGAUGUUCUUAGGUCUUGAAGUGAGAUUACUUGCACAUGCCUUAUCCCUGCGGAGGCUAUAAGGUUUUCUCUCAGGCCACAACACUUGACUCUUCUCUGCCUGCCGUCCAUUCUUCCUCACGGCCCCAUAGGUCUUCUUGUCCGAUAGCAUCUCCGAUCUGAGUCUUUCCUCUUAAAGAGCUUAUUUUAUGUCUCUCGUCUUGUCUGUGUGCCGUGUCGGUCUGUGCGUGUUUGUCUGUCGGAGCUGCUCUGCCUGGGUGCGUAGAGGUGGCAGCUGUAGAAGCACAGUAAGGUUCUAUGUCAAUAAGCCUGGACUUUGUAGGGAAAAGGCGUACCGUCCAUUUCAGAGCAACUAAUUAUGUAGCCAACAGGCAAGAAGAGUUCUUUCUGUAGCGCUACGCAGACAUGCAGGGGAUGAGCAGAGUUUUAUUGACACCAGGCUGUCGAGAGAAUUGGGGUGGUAUACCUAAAUGAAAAUGGGAUCUCUGGAACUGUUAAGCUAUUGCUCGUCAUCCAGAUGACUCACUCAAUAUCUCUUUUGCAGAUGAAGAGGGACAACUCGCUCACCUAAUGACAACAGAGAAGAUAAAUCGAGCAGUUUAGGAAGGUGUCCUAUCGGUGAAGGUAGAAGCACGCCUCGUCGCUCGUCUUGCAAGCGGUACCCGAGCCUCAACGUGACAACCUGUAAACAGUAGAGGCGGAGCGGGUGACGCACGUAGCCUCGGAAGGGUGAAGGAGCAUGCCGAUGACCAACCUGAGAAGGUGCCAAGUGAGCCACCUUUGGGAUCAUCUGAGCAUCGAAAAGCAGCCGGAGUAGUAGCAAGGACAAGCACGGGGUCGGCGACUUCUCACAAGCA